rnacentral:rRNA from 1 species
GAUGAACGCUGGCGGCGUGCCUAAUACAUGCAAGUCGAACGAAACUUCUUUAUCACCGAGUGCUUGCACUCACCGAUAAAGAGUUGAGUGGCGAACGGGUGAGUAACACGUGGGCAGCCUGCCCAAAAGAGGGGGAUAACACUUGGAAACAGGUGCUAAUACCGCAUAACCAUAGUUACCGCAUGGUAACUAUGUAAAAGGUGGCUAUACUACCGCUUUUGGAUGGGCCCGCGGCGCAUUAGCUAGUUGGUAGGGUAAAGGCUUACCAAGGCAAUGAUGCGUAGCCGAAUUGAGAGGUUGAUCGGCCACAUUGGGACUGAGACACGGCCCAAACUCCUACGGGAGGCAGCAGUAGGGAAUCUUCCACAAUGGGCGAAAGCCUGAUGGAGCAACGCCGCGUGGGUGAAGAAGGUCUUCAGAUCGUAAAACCCUGUUGUUAGAGAAGAAAGUGCGUGAGAGUAACUGUUCACGUUUCGACGGUAUCUAACCAGAAAGCCACGGCUAACUACGUG